AUGAAUGUCGUCAGAUCCUUACACAAAUCAAAGUCUGCUGCUCUGCUCCUCAAGUUGGAUAUUGCUGGCGCCUUUGACUCGGUCUCCUGGGGGUACAUGUCCAAGCUCAUGACUGUCAUGGGUUUUGGCCCUCGAUGGCGCAACCUCAUGGCUGUUUUGUAGGGCUCUGCCUCGUCCCGGAUCUUGGUCAACGGGGAGCUCGGGUUGCCAUUCUUUCACAUGCAGGGACUGUGUCAAGGAGACCCCCUCUCCCCUAUGCUCUUCACCAUCGCAAUUGCCCCGUUGCACUAG
rnacentral:rRNA from 1 species